AUUGAACGCUGGCGGCGUGCCUAACACAUGCAAGUCGAGCGGUAACAGGUGUAGCAAUACAUGCCGACGAGCGGCGGACGGGUGAGUAACGCUUGGGAAUCUGCCUAUUAGUGGGGGACAACCCGGGGAAACUCGGGCUAAUACCGCAUACGCACUACGGUGGAAAGCCGGGGACCGCAAGGCCUGGCGCUAACAGAUGAGCCCAAGUCGGAUUAGCUAGUUGGUAGGGUAACGGCCUACCAAGGCGACGAUCCGUAACUGGUCUGAGAGGACGACCAGUCACACCGGAACUGAGACACGGUCCGGACUCCUACGGGAGGCAGCAGUGGGGAAUAUUGGACAAUGGGCGAAAGCCUGAUCCAGCGACGCCGCGUGGGUGAAGAAGGCCUGCGGGUUGUAAAGCCCUUUCAGGU
rnacentral:rRNA from 1 species